rnacentral:rRNA from 1 species
CCUACGGGUUGCACCAGUGGGGAAUAUUGCACAAUGGGCGCAAGCCUGAUGCAGCCAUGCCGCGUGUGUGAAGAAGGCCUUCGGGUUGUAAAGCACUUUCAGCGGGGAGGAAGGCGGUGAGGUUAAUAACCUCACCGAUUGACGUUACCCGCAGAAGAAGCACCAGCUAACUCCGUGCCAGCAGCCGCGGUAAUACGGAGGGUGCAAGCGUUAAUCGGAAUUACUGGGCGUAAAGCGCACGCAGGCGGUCUGUCAAGUCGGAUGUGAAAUCCCCGGGCUCAACCUGGGAACUGCAUUCGAAACUGGCAAGCUUGAGUCUCGUAGAGGGGGGUAGAAUUCCAGGUGUAGCGGUGAAAUGCGUAGAGAUCUGGAGGAAUACCGGUGGCGAAGGCGGCCCCCUGGACGAAGACUGACGCUCAGGUGCGAAAGCGUGGGGAGCAAACAGGAUUAGAUACCCGGGUAGUC